rnacentral:rRNA from 1 species
UCUACGGGUGGCAGCAGUGGGGAAUAUUGGGCAAUGGGCGCAAGCCUGACCCAGCAACGCCGCGUGAAGGAAGAAGGCUUUCGGGUUGUAAACUUCUUUUAAGUGGGAAGAGGAGCAGACGGUACCCCUUGCAUAAGCCACGGCUCACUACGUGCCAGCAGCCGCGGUAAUACGUAGGUGGCAAGCGUUGUCCGGCUGUACUGGGUGUAAAGGGCGUGCAGCCGGGAGGACAAGGCAGAUGUGAAAUCCCGCGGCUCAACCGGGGAACUGCAUUUGAAACUGUUUUUCUUGAGUGCCGGAGAGGUCAUCGGAAUUCCUUGUGUAGCGGUGAAAUGCGUAGAUAUAAGGAAGAACACCAGUGGCGAAGGCGGAUGACUGGGCGGCAACUGACGGUGAGGCGCGAAAGCGUGGGGAGCAAACAGGAUUAGAUACCCGGGUAGUC